AUCUAUAUAGUAUAUAAGUAUAUUUGACUUCCAAUCAUAAGGUCUACUAAUCAGUAGUAUAGAUA
rnacentral:tRNA from 1 species